rnacentral:ncRNA from 2 species
UACUUAUAAAGAGUAGGCUGAGGGACUGGCCCUAUGAAGCCCGGCAACCUGCCGCAUAUUUGCGGUAAGGUGCUAAUUCCUGCAGGAUGGUAAUCCUGAGAGAUACGAG